CCCCGCGGCCCUGCCUCGCCGAGGCUACCGCCAGCAUCCAGCUCAGCUCCUCUGCCCCGCCGUUGCACAAACGAUGGUUGAUAGUUUGUCAAAGGCAUAUUGCACACUUCAUUUUUCGCUGAAUUUUCUGAUCUUAAUUCUUAGCUCUGGUGACACUUCAUGCAGUGAGGAGAAAAACUCGUUUCCCUUCUCCGAAACCGGAUAGGAGUUGCUCCCCAGUCCAUACUCCCUAGGAGGCGUGUAAGCUCUCCCUCGCUGAAGCGACAUAGAAGACAGAGAAGUCCAGGCAGUACAAGUUCACUCGUGAAUAACUCUUGCAGUCCUAGUCAUAGGUCACAUCAACAUAGUAUUAUAGGUAAAAUCAUAUGGCUACAUGUUGCCAGUUUGCUCUUCUCACCUUAACUUUCUAUAGUCAAAUCUUUGGCACUCGGAAGGACUGUUUGCUUGACAAGAAAUAUACUCACUCAAACCUUCUCAACAUCUUCGGUCUACUUAUCUAUUUAAUUUGAUUAGAUUUGGUUGACCAAUCAAAAAUAUAUUAAAAAAACGCAAAUUAGUAUAAUCUAUCUAAGCACAUAUUGGAUGUUGCAAACUAAUACAACAUGGCUAAAAACAAUAGAAUGGAUGUAGAUGUAAUGAAAUUAGAUUUGUGUACAUGCUGCAAUAUUCAUAAAUUGUUCAAAGUUAACUGAUAUAUGGAAGAGAUAUUUCUUUUGUUGAUUACCAAUACAGGAAUGCAAGCUUGCUUUGAUUGGCUAGAGUGGUUAGAGCGGUGCACUGUCCCUACACAUAUCCAUGAUACAGUUCAAUGAAACAUCGAAACACCAACACUUACUAGUCUCUCAGCACAUGUAUAUCUCUUAUUUAUUCUCGAAUAUCAAACUUAGAAAUGCUAUCCUGAAGUCAAGGCUUUUAAAUGCAGAAGCAAAAUAUGAGUCUGCUGGUUGUUAACACGCACACGAAACUCUUUGUCCCUCCGGGUGGCUGCAGUGUCAGUGCUGUCAAGUUUCUCGCAAGGAGUGAUAGAUUGGGCAUGUUGGUGCGGUAGAUGUUGGUGAGGCUUAGGCUAGUCAUAGUGGAGUGUAACAUAGAGUCAUAGAGUAGUAACAUGCACAUGUUACUAAUCUAUGUUAUUACCUUCAUACUCCCUCUGUCCUCAAAUAAAUGUACGUUAGGACAUGUCUUAAGUCAUACUAUAUUAACUUUGACUAUAACUUGUUUAAAAAAAUAGCAAUAUUUAUGAUACCCAAUUAAUAUGGUUAGACUCAUCUUGACAUGUAGUUAAAUAAUGUAGUAGUUACCCGCAAAAAAUUUCUAAUCUUACCUGCAAAAAUAAUAAUAAUGUAGUAGUUUACCGCAGGUGAUGGAUGCAGGGCUCGAGAUAGUAGGUGGCAACUGUGUCGUCUACCCUUCAUCACAGUAGCCCCAUGACCAGUCCGACAAUCUCUCCCUAUUCCUCCGACUUUAGGGCAAUAGCAAGGUUUGCUCGAUGCGCCUCACUGAGCUAAUUGUAACCCACCCUAUGAAAUCUAUAAUCCAAAAGGAAGCUGAACUUAGGUUAUUGGAAGAGGAGUUUGCCAGGAAAGUUGAAGAAGCCAAAAGGAAAAAUCUUGAAGAGCGUCUGAACUCCGAGGAUGUAAAACAUGAAAUACAGCGCCGGUUGAGGAAGGUAUAAGAAAGUUAUUUGACGAGGUUUAUGCUCAACUACUGAAAGAAAAGGAUGCAGCUCUGAAUGAAACCAGGCAGAAAGUUGAACAAGAAAGAAGAGAGAGGGAGGAGUUGGAUAGGAUGCUCGAGGAGAACCGACGGAAAGUAGAGGAAUCUCAAAGAAAAUAAGCUCCGGAGCAGCAGCAGAAAGAGUUGGAGCGGUAUUUGGAGCUGGAAAAGAUCUAAAAGCAAAGAGAAGAAGCUUUAUGCAGGAAGAACAUAGAGGACUAAGACGAAGAAGAAGAGAGAGCUAGGCAGAUGAACCUCUGUUAGGAAAUAAUAGUUACUGAUGUUUUGACAGUGUUGUAAUCUGUUGGUGUCUCAAAAAAAUGGGCAUGCAGUUUUUGUGAAACCUCAAAUGUCUUGAUACAGCUGAGCCCACUUAUGUGUUUGAGUUGCUCUGCUGUUAAUUUCUGAAAUUUGCUGAGCUGGCCAUGUCUACUGAUUGUGCCAUGGGCACAAAAUGCAAGAUGUAGCGUAUCUGAAUGCAGUAUUUUCUGACUUCAA